rnacentral:tRNA from 1 species
ACCUGGCUGGCUCAAUUAGUAGAGCAGGAGAUUCUUAAUCUCAGGAUUGUGAGUUAAAGCCCCACAUUGGGUG